ACAGGAUUAGAUACCCUGGUAGUCCACGCCGUAAACGAUGUCGACUUGGAGGUUGUUCCCUUGAGGAGUGGCUUCCGGAGCUAACGCGUUAAGUCGACCGCCUGGGGAGUACGGCCGCAAGGUUAAAACUCAAAUGAAUUGACGGGGGCCCGCACAAGCGGUGGAGCAUGUGGUUUAAUUCGAUGCAACGCGAAGAACCUUACCUGGCCUUGACAUCCAGAGAACUUUCCAGAGAUGGAUUGGUGCCUUCGGGAACUCUGAGACAGGUGCUGCAUGGCUGUCGUCAGCUCGUGUUGUGAAAUGUUGGGUUAAGUCCCGCAACGAGCGCAACCCUUAUCCUUUGUUGCCAGCGAUUCGGUCGGGAACUCAAAGGAGACUGCCGGUGAUAAACCGGAGGAAGGUGGGGAUGACGUCAAGUCAUCAUGGCCCUUACGGCCAGGGCUACACACGUGCUACAAUGGCGCAUACAAAGAGAAGCGACCUCGCGAGAGCAAGCGGACCUCAUAAAGUGCGUCGUAGUCCGGAUCGGAGUCUGCAACUCGACUCCGUGAAGUCGGAAUCGCUAGUAAUCGUGGAUCAGAACGCCACGGUGAAUACGUUCCCGGGCCUUGUACACACCGCCCGUCACACCAUGGGAGUGGGUUGCAAAAGAAGUAGGUAGCUUAACCUUCGGGAGGGCGCUUACCACUUUGUGAUUCAUGACUGGGGUGAAGUCGUAACAAGGUAA
rnacentral:rRNA from 1 species